rnacentral:rRNA from 1 species
AACGAACGCUGGCGGCAUGCCUAACACAUGCCAGUCGAACGAGACCUUCGGGUCUAGUGGCGCACGGGUGCGUAACGCGUAGGAACCUGCCCUUAGGUUCGGAAUAACUCCCCGAAAGGGGUGCUAAUACCGGAUAAUGUCUUCGGACCAAAGAUUUAUCGCCUUUGGAUGGGCCCGCGUUGGAUUAGCUAGUUGGUAGGGUAAAAGCCUACCAAGGCGACGAUCCAUAGCUGGUCUGAGAGGAUGAUCAGCCACACUGGGACUGAGACACGGCCCAGACUCCUACGGGAGGCAGCAGUGGGGAAUAUUGGACAAUGGGCGAAAGCCUGAUCCAGCAAUGCCGCGUGAGUGAUGAAGGCCUUAGGGUUGUAAAGCUCUUUUACCCGGGAUGAUAAUGACAGUACCGGGAGAAUAAGCUCCGGCUAACUCCGUG